AUCCAUUUGACGAGUCCCAAAUAGGACGAAACGCGCGUGAUCCUGGAU
rnacentral:hammerhead_ribozyme from 1 species